UACGAAGGGUGCAAGCGUUACUCGGAAUUACUGGGCGUAAAGCGUGCGUAGGUGGUGCGUUAAGUCUGUCGUGAAAGCCCCGGGCUCAACCUGGGAAUUGCAUUCGAGACUGCAUUGCUGGAGUACGGAAGAGGAAGGCGGAAUUCCCGGUGUAGCGGUGAAAUGCGUAGAGAUCCGGAAGAACACCGGUGGCGAAGGCGGCCUGCUGGGCAGUAGCUGACGCUGAGGCGCGACAGCGUGGGGAGCAAACAGG
rnacentral:rRNA from 1 species